GUGGGGAAUAUUGGACAAUGGGGGGAACCCUGAUCCAGCCAUGCCGCGUGGAGGAAGACUGCCCUCUGGGUUGUAAACUCCUUUUAUAUGGGAAGAACCGUCCUCAUUAAUGAGUGACCUGACGGUACCAUAGGAAUAAGCACCGGCUAACUCCGUGCCAGCAGCCGCGGUAAUACGGAGGGUGCAAGCGUUAUCCGGAUUCACUGGGUUUAAAGGGUGCGUAGGCGGAUAAAUAAGUCAGUGGUGAAUCAACGGGCUCAACCUGUUAACUGCCAUUGAUACUGUGUAUCUUGAAUAUGAGAGAGGUAGGCGGAAUGUUGCAUGUAGCGGUGAAAUGCUUAGAUAUGCUACGGAACACCGAUUGCGAAGGCAGCUUACUAUUUCGUAAUUGACGCUGAGGCACGAAAGCGUGGGUAGCGAACAGGAUUAGAUACCCGAGUAGUCC
rnacentral:rRNA from 1 species